rnacentral:rRNA from 1 species
AGUCUACCUGCCCACUGAAUUUAUUUAAAUGGCCGCAGUAUCCUAACUGUGCAAAGGUAGCAUAAUCAUUAGUCUUUUAAUUGAAGGCUGGUAUGAAUGGUUGGACGAGAUAUUAACUGUUUCAUAAAAAUUUAUAAUAGAAUUUUAUUUUUUAGUCAAAAAGCUAAAAUAAAAUUAAAAGACGAGAAGACCCUAUAAAUCUUUAUAUAUAAACUAUUAGAAUUUUGUAGAUUUUUUUUAUUAUAAUAGUUGAUUAUAUUUUAUUGGGGUGAUAUUAAAAUUUAAUAAACUUUUAAUUGUUUAAAUCAUUAAUUUAUGAAUAAUUGAUCCGUUAAUAACGAUUAAAAAAAUAAGUUACUUUAGGGAUAACAGCGUAAUUUUUUUGGAGAGUUCAUAUCGAUAAAAAAGAUUGCGACCUCGAUGUUGGAUUAAGAUAUAAUUUUAGGUGUAGCCGCUUAAAUUUUAAGUCUGUUCGACUUUUAAAUUCUUAC